ensembl:snRNA U6 U6 spliceosomal RNA
GUGCUUGCUUCGGCAGCACAUAUACUAAAAUUGGAACGAUACAGAGAUUAGCAUGGCCCCUGUGCAAGGAUGAAACUGGACAUUCCUGAGCUUCAUUCAUCUUUU